GUAAGAACAAGAUCCGGGCCAUCAACACGUACGCCCUGCCCGUGAUCAGGUACCCUGCUGGGGUAAUAGGCUGGCCAAAGGAGGAGAUAGAAGCCACUGACAUAAAGACAAGAAAGCUCCUUACCAUGCAUGGAGGGUUUCACCCCCAAGAAUGACCGAGCUAAGAUCCUGUGGGACUUCCAGAUACAGACGGACAAAAUGGUGGUGGCUAACCAACCGGACAUAGUGGUGGUAGACAAACAGAAGAAGACGGCCGUAGUGAUCGAUGUAGCGGUUCCGAAUGACAGCAAUAUCAGGAAGAAGGAACACGAGAAGCUGGAGAAAUACCAAGGGCUCAGAGAAGAGCUCGAGAGGAUGUGGAGGGUGAAGGUAACGGUGGUCCCCGUGGUAAUCGGAGCACUAGGUGCGGUGACUCCCAAGCUAGGCGAGUGGCUCCAGCAGAUCCCGGGAACAACAUCGGAGAUCUCUGUCCAGAAGAGCGCAGUCCUGGGAACAGCUAAGAUACCGCGCAGGACCCUCAAGCUCCCAGGCCUCUGAUAGAGGACCCGAGCUUGAAGGAUAAACCGCCCGCAGGGGCGUGCUGGGUGUUUUUUUGUUUUUUUUUAAUGUGUGAAUGUAUAAAUGAAGUGUAAAAUUGUUUUUGGAUGAAUGAUUAAAGGUGCACAUUGUUUUGAAACUGGGUGGGUGUGUGUGUGAGACAAUUAUCUUUUAAGGAAGUUCAGGGAAGUGUGCAAAAUGCUGAUGAAAGUAUUGUGUGAAUGAUGCUACAAAACUGAGCUGAAAGAAUGGUGAUGGAAAAACUGCUAAUUAUCCUGAGGAUUUGUGCCAAACGAGCUCUGUUAAGCACACUGAAGAUUUUGAUGUGAAUACUUGCAGAUGCAAAGAGCUUAGUAUAUUUAAGGGUGUGUGUGUGUGUGCGUGUACGGAGGGUGCAUUCUUUUUAGAUCAACACUUAGCAGAGAUACAGAGGGUUUAUAGACUAAAAACACAACAUCCAGUAUCUUAACAAAAAAAAUUCUGCUCAGAACUGGAAGAAAAACCCUGAUUAGAAGCUCACAUCAAGACAAUAGCUCCUCGGUUCACAGUAGCAUCGCUCUGCUAACAUGCUAACAUCACAUUUGAGCUACUCACCCCCGUCCUGUGCUGAAUCGUAGGGUAAGCGAAUGACUCAGGACUCACUAACCCCCUCCCUCCUGUGCUGAAUCGUAAGCGUAAGCGAAUCACUCAGGACUUGCUCACCCCCUCCCUCCUGUGCUG
ensembl:lncRNA